rnacentral:rRNA from 1 species
GAUGAACGCUGGCGGCGUGCCUAAUACAUGCAAGUCGAGCGAACGGACGAGAAGCUUGCUUCUCUGAUGUUAGCGGCGGACGGGUGAGUAACACGUGGAUCACCUACCUAUAAGACUGGGAUAACUUCGGGAAACCGGAGCUAAUACCGCAUGAUAUUUUGAACCGCAUGGUUCAAAAGUGAUAGACGGUCUUGCUGUCACUUAUAGAUGGAUCCGCGCUGCAUUAGCUAGUUGGUAAGGUAACGGCUUACCAAGGCAACGAUGCAUAGCCGACCUGAGAGGGUGAUCGGCCACACUGGAACUGAGACACGGUCCAGACUCCUACGGGAGGCAGCAGUAGGGAAUCUUCCGCAAUGGGCGAAAGCCUGACGGAGCAACGCCGCGUGAGUGAUGAAGGUCUUCGGAUCGUAAAACUCUGUUAUUAGGGAAGAACAUAUGUGUAAGUAACUGUGCACAUCUUGACGGUACCUAAUCAGAAAGCCACGGCUAACUACGUG